CGCAUCUGUGCAUGCAGCAUAUCAAUAAGCGGAGGAAAAGAAACUAACAAGGAUUCCCCUAGUAACGGCGAGUGAAGCGGGAAGAGCUCAAAUUUGAAAUCUUAAAGGGUUUCCCUUUACGAAUUGUAGUUUAAAGAAGUGUUUUCUGUUGAGGUUUUGGUAAAAGUUCUUUGGAAUAGGACAUCAUAGAGGGUGAGAAUCCCGUAUUUGACCUUUACUUUCAACUUUGUGAUACAGCUUUCAAAGAGUCGGAUUGUUUGGGAAUGCAGUCCAAAAUGGGUGGUAAAUUUCAUCUAAAGCUAAAUAUUGGCGAGAGACCGAUAGCGAACAAGUACCGUGAGGGAAAGAUGAAAAGAACUUUGAAAAGAGAGUUAAACAGUACGUGAAAUUGUCAAAAGGGAAGCGUUUGACACCAGUGUUGUUUUUCUGAAAAUCAAUUAAAGAACUGUUUAUGCUAAGCUUGUUUAGACUUUAUCAGCUAUCUGUUUAGUUUUGAGCUUUUCUUUAAUGCACUUUUCAGUUAACAAGUCAACAUCAAUUUCUUUUGCUGUAAAAAAGCUUGAGGAAGGUGGCUUGAGAUUCGUCUUAAGUGUUUAUAGCCUCUUGCCUAUGCAGUCGGAGAGAUUGAGGUCUGCAGCGUAGAUCCUUCGGGGCUAAAUGCAUUUGUGCUAAGUUAUAGCAUUUUAUAGACAACUUGUUGACUAUGAUUUGUCUUGUAGCUUACUCGCUUAUGUUAUUUUACCUACGCUUAGGAUGUUGAGUCGUAGAGCACGCAG
rnacentral:rRNA from 1 species